GCCGGAAAGCUAUCGGAAUAUGCUAAAGCUAAAUGAGCCGGCGAGGGUCGCGGUGGGCACAGUUCAGUGGGUGAAAGGCAGGAAACACCUUGGACAGGUCACCAGUCCAUCAGGGCAAUUCAGUAUCUCCAAUUCCUGACUGCAUGUCUUUGUACGGAAGGAAACCGGAGCAUCAGGACGAAAACCCACACAGACACAGGAAGAACAUGCAAACUCCACACAGAAAGAACCAGACUCACUUCACCUGGGAAUCGAACCCAGGACCCGAGCCACCGUGCCGCCCAGAUGUUACUUUAAUUAAAUUUGGUUUCCUUGGUGGCUUGUUAUUAAACUCCUGUUUCUCCAUAAUGAUGUUAAAUGUACUUAAAAAGCUAAUGUUUAAUUCAGGUGCUUAAACAUUUUUGUAAAUAUUAAUAUUUAUAAUAAAUAUAAAGUGGAGUGCUCUAAAUACCAGAAUAAAUGUUUUUCAGCCCAAA